UACGUAGGGUGCAAGCGUUGUCCGGAGUUACUGGGCGUAAAGCGCGCGCAGGCGGCUCGUCAAGCCUGACGUGAAAGCCCCCGGCUCAACCGGGGAGGGUCGUCGGGGACUGGCGAGCUUGAGGUCGGCAGGGGCUGGUGGAAUUCCCGGUGUAGUGGUGAAAUGCGUAGAGAUCGGGAGGAACACCCGUGGCGAAGGCGGCCAGCUGGGCCGUACCUGACGCUGAGGCGCGAAGGCGUGGGGAGCGAACGGG
rnacentral:rRNA from 1 species